rnacentral:rRNA from 1 species
UUCGGAUUGUAGGCUGCAACCCGCCUACAUGAAGUUGGAAUUGCUAGUAAUCGCAGAUCAGAAUGCUGCGGUGAAUACGUUCCCGGGCCUUGUACACACCGCCCGUCACACCAUGGGAGCCGGUAAUACCCGAAGUCAGUAGUCUAACCGCAAGGGGGACGCUGCCGAAGGUAGGAUUGGCGACUGGGGUGAAGUCGUAACAAGGUACC